GCGGGGGUGCCUGAGCCUGGUCUAAAGGGCAGGACUUAAGAUCCUGUGCACUUAGGUGCUUCGUGGGUUCAAAUCCCUCCCCCCGCA
rnacentral:tRNA from 1 species